CCUGGCUGCUAUCUAUUGCAUUAUAGGCGUACCAGGAGCUUAUUUACUAUGGUAUCGUCCACUUUAUCGAGCUUGCAAGUACUAAUUAACUUGUGACAACUCAUAAUUAACUUUAUUUGUUCAAGUUAAUUUUAUUUUUUAGUGAGGUAUUUGAGACAACUCAAGGUGGAAAUUUUCCUCAUUUUUUGAUGGGCCAUAGAAGAUAUUUGUUUGGAGGACACUCUAAGACAAUUCGACCCGACAAGCAAAUAUUUCGUUCAUUUAAUUAGCACAUUUCGUUCAAAUCGAAUCAAAACCAGCAAAUAUUACCCUUUGCAUGUGUCCACUGCAUGUGAGAGGCAGGACACGUUGUAACCUGUACUACCACCUCGCCCUACGUGUCUACCUCACAACUCAAAUAGAAUAAAAUUCAGCCUAUACAACUGCAUGGGAGCACUUAUGACUAAAAAGAAAUGCAUGACUCGGCCUAUAGCUUGACUUUAGGCUAAGCCUUUCUCUAGAAUCCUGGGAACCUUAGAACCUUGGGAGAGAUUCCCUACUGCCUUAGGAAAUCAAACAGCUAUCCCUGCUUGAGAAACAUAAUGAGGGAUGAUCAUCCAGAAAGUGUUUUAUCAGCUAUGCAAACAAUCAUGAUUGUGGUGUUAGAAGAGAGUGAAGAUGUUUGAGAUGAUCUUUUACUUGUUAUAUUGUCUGCAUUAGGUCGUAAUAAAAGUGCUGAUCAAUUAGACAUUCGUUUGAGAGCUGUGAGAUUGGUUGGAUCCCUUUUUGCUCUGCCUGGUGCUAAUAUAUGUGAAGCAUUUCAGCCAAUAUUUUCAGAAUUAUUGAAGAGGUUGACUGAUAAAGUUGUCGAUGCUAGAAUGCCUGUCCUCGAACAUGUUAAGAUCUGUCUGUUGUCAGAUCCCUCUAGACCUGAGGCUCCUCAAAUAAUCUCUACCCUAUGUGAUCAGCUUUUAGACUAUGAUGAAAAUGUUCGAAAGCAAGUUGUGGAUGUAAUUUGUGAUAUUGCUUGUCAUUCUCUUGUUUUGAUUCCCGUUCAGGCUGUAAAACUAGUUGUAGAUCAUUAAUUCAUGAUUGAUUUUUACUUUC